CCUUGCAAGAGUGACAUAAAAGCCCAACUUGAAUCUUGCUUGGACUUACCAAGACUCCUCAGUUCACUUCUCAAAAUGAGGUUCCCUGCUCAGCUCUUUGUACUGCUAAUGCUUUGGUUUCCUGGAUCCAGCGGGGAAAUUGUGAUGACACAGACCCCACUGUCCCUGCCCAUCAGCCCUGGAGAGCCGGCCUCCAUCUCCUGCAAGGCCAGUCAGAGCCUCCUGUACAGUAAUGGAAAAACCUAUUUGCAUUGGUACCUGCAGAAGCCAGGCCAGUCCCCACAGCUCCUGAUCUAUGAGGUUUCCAACCAUUUCUCUGGGGUCUCAGACAGGUUCAGUGGCAGCGGGUCAGGGACAGAUUUCACCCUGAGAAUCAGCAGGGUGGAGGCUGACGAUAUGGGAGUUUAUUACUGUGGGCAAAGUACAGAGUAUCCUCCCACAGAGGUUCAGUCCUGA